AACGCACCUUGCGCUCCUUGGUAUUCCGAGGAGCAUGCCUGUUUGAGUGUCAUUAAAUUCUCAACCUCACCCGUUUUCUGAACGGUUCUCCGAGGCUUGGAUGUGGGGGUUUGUGCAGGCUGCCUCAGCGCGGUCUGCUCCCCUGAAAUGCAUUAGCGAGUUCGUACUGAGCUUCCGUCUAUUGGUGUGAUAAUUAUCUACGCCGUGGACAGGGUUUAGACUCGCUUCUAACCGUCCGCAAGGACAAUACCUUUGACAAUUUGACCUCAAAUCAGGUAGGACUACCCGCUGAACUUAA
rnacentral:misc_RNA from 1 species